UCGAAUUGAAUACCGCCACGUCAAUCAGUUUCAUGUUUGACUUUUGACAAUUUACUCAAAAGCCGCUGGAUCCCACUAACCAUAUAUAGGCCUCUGGCUGUAAAUAUCUGUCUACGUUGGCUUUUUCUCUCUUGCCAUAUGAGAUGAUUUUUUGGUCUCUUUUUGGACAUCAAUACACAGAAUUUCACAUGAUAUGUUCAUAAUACAUCAAUCUCACCCAUCAAACAGAAACAAAGAGUUUGGAAUGUAAAGUGGGCCUCAACUUUAACACUUCAAGCCCA
rnacentral:lncRNA from 1 species